rnacentral:rRNA from 1 species
GACGAACGCUGGCGGCGUGCCUAAUACAUGCAAGUUGAGCGCUGAAGGUUGGUACUUGUACCAACUGGAUGAGCAGCGAACGGGUGAGUAACGCGUGGGGAAUCUGCCUUUGAGCGGGGGACAACAUUUGGAAACGAAUGCUAAUACCGCAUAAAAACUUUAAACACAAGUUUUAAGUUUGAAAGAUGCAAUUGCAUCACUCAAAGAUGAUCCCGCGUUGUAUUAGCUAGUUGGUGAGGUAAAGGCUCACCAAGGCGAUGAUACAUAGCCGACCUGAGAGGGGGAUCGGCCACAUUGGGACUGGGACACGGCCCAAGCUCCUACGGGAGGCAGCAGUAGGGAAUCUUCGGCAAUGGACGAAAGUCUGACCGAGCAACGCCGCGUGAGUGAAGAAGGUUUUCGGAUCGUAAAACUCUGUUGGUAGAGAAGAACGUUGGUGAGAGUGGAAAGCUCAUCAAGUGACGGUAACUACCCAGAAAGGGACGGCUAACUACGUG